rnacentral:ncRNA from 1 species
AUAAUUCUUCAGGGCGGGGUGGAAUUCCCCACCGGCGGUGAUUAAUUUGCAAAAAUUAUCAGCCCGCGAGCGCUUUACCGUGAGUAGCAAACAUGUGGUAAAGGUCCAGCAGAUCCGGUGUCAAUCCGGAGCCGACGGUUCAGGGUAAAAUCGUUAUCUCAGCGAUAGUCCCGUAAAGUCCGGAUGGGAGAAGAAAAAU